rnacentral:rRNA from 1 species
UACGAAGGGGGCUAGCGUUGCUCGGAAUUACUGGGCGUAAAGCGCACGUAGGCGGAUUGUUAAGUCGGGGGUGAAAUCCUGGAGCUCAACUCCAGAACUGCCUCCGAAACUGGCGAUCUUGAGUUCGGGAGAGGUGAGUGGAACUGCGAGUGUAGAGGUGAAAUUCGUAGAUAUUGGGAAGAACACCGGUGGCGAAGGCGGCCAACUGGACCACAACUGACGCUGAGGCGCGAAAGCGUGGGGAGCAAACAGG